rnacentral:lncRNA from 12 species
CCCCCUUGCCCACUAGACCCCACCGGUGCCUCCCCCCCCCCCCCCCAGCCCCCCCGACACCCCAGAUGCCGCGUAUUCGCAGAAGGUACGUGGAAGCCCCGGAAACGGAUUGGGAGCAGCCACGUGCCUGCUGCCCGCCCUCCACCUCCCUCACCCCAAGCACCUUGUCUCUCCAGCCCCUCCACGGCCCCCGCCCCUCUGCUCGGCCCCGGACACCCCAGAGGGCGACCCCGGCCCUUCCCGAGCUCCGGUGUUGCUGGCCUGGGCGCUGCCCCAGGGAGCCCGGGGCGGCCGGGCGGGAGCACGACUGACGGCGGGUCGGACACCCCACAGCCUCCCUCGGCCGUGUCGCCCCGUGGGGUGGCCCCAGUCCACCCAUUUUCACUCAACGUGUCAAAGCCAGGAUUUCGACCCCGAUGUGUGCAGCUCCUGGCCAAGCGCCCCUCCCCGCAGCCCGUUCCUGCCACCCGCGCGGCCAGGACAGGGGCCAAGAGCCGCCUUCCUUCAGGGGCCCCGGGCUGGGCCAGGCCAGCAGGAGCUCCGCGCCGACUGCAGGGUCGAGGCCGGAGGGGGUGGAGGGGUGGAGGGGUGGAGGGGGUGGAGGGGGUGGCCGCCGAAAGGGCGCCAGGCCGCUGUGCCGGGGAACAGCCUGGGCGGGCGAGGCCGGGGUCUGGAACGGGCUGCCCUCCCCGGGAGGCCGAGGCCCAUCCUACAGGCGAAGCAGGGACCUGUAGGCCUUCCCAGGCGGGGUGUCCCCCAGCCCUACAGGCGGCCGCCAGUGUCCCUCCCAGUACCCCCCAUGGCUUCCAGGGAUCUGUACCACGUCUCUCUCGUCUCUCGUCCCUCCGUGAGCCCCGCUCUUUACAGGACGGGGCCGCCCCUGCGUCCGGAGCAAGGGGCUGCGAGGCGACCUCUGCUCAGCCGAACGCGGCGCCGCCGAGGCGAUCCGAAGGAAACCGGGGGACAGAGGGUGUUGAGAGCGGCUGCCCGAGGCCCUGCUGGCUCGUCCCCGUCCCUGGACCUCCAGCCCAGGUCAGGCCACUUGGUCGUGCCCUGCAGGAUGCCCCGGGGUGGGUCCCCGCAGGACGGGCUCCCCGGGGCCUGGUGGCUGGGGCGCUCGGAGCCGGCGGGGCGCGGGGUGAAGGGAGCUGCCCUCCCUGGAGAGCCAGCCCGGCAGCUCCCGGGGAUCCGCCGAACCCCAAGAUCACGGGGUCCGUGAGGUCCAGCCCGCCCCCCGCGAGGCCCGGGGCUGUCCUCAGGCACUUCCUCGCAGCCCAGGCCCCGCCGGCCUCCUGUCAGACGGCCCCACGCAGCCGAGGCUCUCGGGGUGACUCGGGCCGGCUCGGGGAGCCCCCGGGAGGCGCUGGCCUGGGCCCCUGGGCCUCUGCUCAGCUGGGAGGGGGCUGA